GGGGACUUGGUGUAAUGGGAGCAUACGACUCUUGCACAGUCGUGACAGGGGUUCAAACCCCCUAGUCUCCA
rnacentral:tRNA from 1 species